CACUUCGAAUAAGGUGGAGCCUUACCAAUCCUUCGCUGAAAGCUGACCUCGUAUACUAUGAGGGCUUGUCAAACUGAUUGUCUAUACCUGCAGGCAUGAAUGUAGCGUUCCCAACAAAAUAACGUCAGUACGAAUAAUGUACCGAGUAUGUAAGGUGCACAAAUAAGUAUAUAAAAGACAUAGGAGAAACAUGCGAUAAAUGACACAAACCGUAAGUCUGGAUAACUUUGUAAAUUAUGAAAUACUUAUAGUAUCAUGCAUAUGCGUAUGUAUAUCAUGUUGUGCAUAGCAUGUGUUCAUGAUAUUGCAGCCUCUGAGGGCAUUCCGUCAUAUCAUCUGGGCCACUGUGGGAAAAAUCAUCAAUGUAUACCAGCUAAUUUAGUGUUGGUGCGUAUAUAAGGAAGUAACCUUUCCCAUAUAUCAUAUGCAUAUAAUAUACAUAUAUAUGCAUAUAUAAUGCCAUCUGUUCAUGGGUCAAUAUAAAUGAAUGCAAUGCAUGAGAAGUACGUCAAUAAAAACUUUCAGAGUAUCAUAAGACUAUUAUGUCUUUGAUUAAUAUCAUAAAAUAAACUUUAUCAACUUGCGUAUUUUCUGAGACCUAUGAAUAGACGAUAGAAUAAUAAGAUACGUGUGAAUUCAAGAACAUAAGCACAUCUAAUAUUUCUAUGAAUCGAGUCAUUUAUGGAAUUUGUGCAUUUGCUCAUUAUAUUGGUGUCGUAUAGAUCAUGCCAAAACUAGGGUGUUCAUAAAAAUCCGAAAAUCCAAAUCAAACCAAACCGAUCAAAAAACCCGAUAUUUUUUGGUUUGGUUUGGUUUGAUUUUAGUUUUGAAAUUUAAAAACCGAUCAAAUUUGGUUUGGUUUUGGUUUUAAUUAAAAAUAACCGAACCAAAGGAAAGAAGGGAUAUUCUUAACAUACCUGGAUCGAUUCUCUUGACAAUUCCUCUAACACACAUAUUUUCUGACAAAACAUAUAACGGUAAAUCGAAAUAUGGGAUCCGUGUGAUAUUGUUGAAAAGGAAUGCAUCGUAUUCCCUUAAAAUUGCAAAAUUUCACGUUGCUAAAAUACUAAGAAUUCUUGUUUGAAUUCUUAAAGUCACUUAUGAGAUCUUGUUGAAUUAUGAAAAUAAAAAAAUCUUUACACCACUCGUGAAUAUCCAUCUCUCUUUCAAGGUAGAGAGGUCUUAUACCUUAGUGGGUGUGGGACACACUAAGGUGAUGACUAAUCCAUUAAAAUGACACCUUAUCAUGACUUGAAGAGUCAUCCCAUUGGCAAAGUUUGCUGCCACGUUUGGAGCGAAUUAGGCUAAUAAAUAUGUCCUAAUUAUUUAGCUAAUAUUUCCCUAAGUGUUAUUAAUUAAUCAAUCAAUUCCUUAAUUAACUAGAUAAUUUUCAUUACCCAAUAAUCCACAUAAUAGAAAUUAUAUCAAAUUACUUAAAAUACUAUUCAUUUUUAACACACUUUGUACACCUUACUAUUAUGUUCAUGUAGUACCGUGUAUGAUACUAGUUCAUAAAUAUCAGGUAUUUUAUCUUGGGCCGUAUUUUAUCCCAAAUGACAAACUUCGAUGAAAUUCAUUUUCUUCAAUUUUUUUACCUUCUCACCUUCAUGAAUUUGCUUAUCACUUAAUUGAAAUAACAUAAUGCUUAUAAUCUCCAAAAUAAUCUCAUUCCCAAACUUACAUCGAUUAACUUACGACGAAAUUUGAACAUACAAAAAUGCAGGAUGUAACAUCUCAUUUCCGAGCUUCUAUCAAUUUACUUAUAGCGUGCCUUCACGUACAAAAAUAUGGGGUGCAACACUAAAAAUAGGCUCAUUUAGUGGGAAGUUCUUCAGAUAGUGGCUAAGUGUUUUGUGCUUGUUUAUAGGCUUGGUAUAUGCCAGGCACACCUUGUAACUGCUCAACUUGUAACCUGUCAUUGGCAGCCCUUUAUUUGUUUUGUAUUUUGCUGGCUAAAUCAAGUUAGCAAAUGUGAGCCUUCCAAUUGAGUUCCUUUGUAUAUUAUGCGAGAAUAAUAAACGUUGGGUGUUGAAUUGUACGCGUUGCUUUCACUUUACAAGUCUAAAAAUAUUCUAUGUCCUAAAUUGUGAGGUAAAAAGUAAGGCUGAGUGGCUUGAGUGUCAGGCUACUGUCGUGCAGUGCCGUUUGCAAAAAAUUGGUCCUGUAACAAUUGUUAUCAGAGCUUUACUCGUGAUUCGGGACCAUGGCCAGAGGAAAUUCCACUUCAGACUUAGGUGUUCGUGUGCAGAAGUUGGAGGCACUAAUCAGUGUGACUAACGAUCCUUUGGAUUUGAAAGAUCUAAUUACUAAGAUGUUUCGUUUAAAGGCAUGAUUGAAUUAGUUUCAUGAUACUAUUCAACAAAUGUGUGAGGCUACUAAUGUUCAGGUUGAAGAUCUAAUAAACGAAAAUGAAACUCUUAAUCUGGAAAUUGUUGUUCUGCGAAGGGCUUUGGCUAGUUCUGGCAAGGGCAGUGAAGAACGUUCCACGGUUAAGAUCCUAGAACCGAAGGCGUUUGGUGGAACGUGAAGUGCUUUAUGAGUCUUGACCUCUUUACAAUUAACUUGAGAUAAUAAUUAAUAACUAGUAUUAAUUGCCUUCUAAGAAUACAACAAAGGAAUCAAAGAUAUCAUAAAAGAGAAGUAAUCUUACUACCUUGAAGUAUGAACUAGUAAAGGUUGAAAGAUAAAUCUCAAAGCACAAGUAACAAAUGUUCAAAAGAACUCUCAAAGUAUGAUAUACUUAAUCAAUAAUGUUGUAUCUUAUGAAUGAGAAGAAAAUCUUAUUUAUAGGAGAAAAAACCUUUAAAAUAAUGUGGGGGGGGGGGGGGCUAAAAUAAGAUCCUAGAACCGAAGGCGUUUGGUGGAACGUGAAGUGCUUUAUGAGUCUUGACCUCUUUACAAUUAACUUGAGAUAAUAAUUAAUAACUAGUAUUAAUUGCCUUCUAAGAAUACAACAAAGGAAUCAAAGAUAUCAUAAAAGAGAAGUAAUCUUACUACCUUGAAGUAUGAACUAGUAAAGGUUGAAAGAUAAAUCUCAAAGCACAAGUAACAAAUGUUCAAAAGAACUCUAAAAGUAUGAUAUACUUAAUCAAUAAUGUAGUGCCUUAUGAAUGAGAAAAACUCCCUAUAUAUAGGAGUACUAAGGCAUAAAAAGUCCUUAAAAUUAGGUAGGAUGGUUGUUAUGGCAUACAAAGUCACUACAAUUAGGUAGGAUGGUUGCUAAAGAGUAAGAAAAGUCAUUAAAACUAGGUGGGGGACGGCUAAGACCCGUUGGGGCAUAUUUGGGCCUUGAAACAACUAGUUGGCCCCUCUCUCUUUCUCUCUCUCUCUCUCCCCCUCUCUCUUUCUCUCUCUCUCUAUACCUCAAAGCCUUUUUCUAUCUCGUGGCCUUCUCUCUUUUCUUUCCUCUCAAGCUCACUCUUUUCCUUCUUUGACAUCCUACUCUCUUUACUUAACACAACCUCUCCUUUUUCCUCUUUUGGGAUGUCAACAUGCACAUCCUUAUUCCUCUCAUUCUUUUCUCUCUUAUAUUUUUCCGUUUUUUCUUUAACAAUCUUUUUAUCUUCAUAAAUUUGUGAGGGAGUCAAAGACCGAAGAAUGAGUUUCUUCCCGUUAAUCUCGUAAUAAUAUUUUUUUUCAUGCUAUAUGAAGCUUUUUUAUAGUCAUACCAUGGCUUUCCCAAUAAGAUAUGAUAAUAAUUCAUGGAAAUCACAUCACACCAGAUCGCAUCCUCAUAUAUUCCAAUAAAAAAUAGUAAUAACACACACAUUUACUCCUCUCAACAUGUAGGGUUCAAUAUGCUUAACAUAUGGCAAGUUCAAUUUCUCAACCAUAUAAGUACUAAUUGAGUUAUAGCCAAACUCUUUGUCAAUUCUAAAGGUACAAAUUGCAGGCAUCACUUUAUCUCUUAUUUGAAAAAUUAGUUUUCCUUCCAUUCGCAUAUUGUAAGUUCGACUUUUCAAAUUAUUGAGUCAUAGCUCGCCUCCUUUCUUCAUAACUACCCGUUUGAAAAAUCUUGAACAAAAAUUAGAAGAAAUAUUUAUAUCUCAAAUUUUGGCUUUUCCCUCUAAUGUUCUCAUCUCUCUUGCUUUUUUCCACUCAAAGCAACUCUUAAUUUUAAUCAUUAGGUUUAUUAAUAAACCUAACAAGUCACAUCCCGCAGUGAUAAGAAUACGGAGUUAGAAAAAGAAAAGAAAAAUGAGAGACCAAACCUAGAAACAAUAGGAAUGGGUUAUUGUUAAAAGAAAAAGGAAAGAAAUUAAGACACCUAAAACCCACCAGAAUAAGGAAAGAAGUUACCUUAAUCUUCAAGAACUAGAAUCCACUCUUCUUUUUUCCUUUCUUGACUUGGAAACCUAAUAAUACUUGAAUUCUAAAAAUAAUAAUGAGCAAUAAAAUUUUUUUUGGGGGGCUGAUUUUCGUUUUUUUGUUUGUUUGUUUUGUUCGUUUUUUGCUCAAGAACCUUCCAAGACUAUCAAUCUUGAAAUCUUUAUUAACCUAUGCUCUGGUACCACUUGAUAACAACACUAUAGGUAUUCAAGAAUUACUUAAGAAAAAACCAAAAAAAAUAAAAAAACGUGCAGAAGCUAAAAGAAAAUAAAGAAAUAAAAAAGAUGGAAAACUAAAAAUAGAUUGAGUUCAAGAAAGAGUUUCUUGAAUUCAAGAAGUCUAUUCUUGUAGAUUAAUUCUAACAAAAACAAUUAGCUAACGAAGAACAAAUCGUCUUUGGUAGAGGUUAAAAACAAGAGAUAAAUUGUGAAACUCGACCCUUUAGAAUAACAAGAACAACAGUAAGCCUAAAAUUAUCACCUUCUUUGAAUAUAUAGAAGUGAUCUAAGAUUUCGAAAAUGAUUUAAUCUUACCACCUUAAGUUGAAUCUUGAAUCCAAGAGUAGCCACACCUGAGUGCAAGAAAAUCUCACAAUUUUUUGUUGAUAAUAAUAUGAAUAAUCUAUAUUUAAACAAAAAGAUAUAGAUAGGGGGCAUGAAAUUGUAACCAAAAAAAGAAGGAAAAUAAAGUCCUAAACUACUUUGGACAACAAGUCCAACUACCUUAGAAAAAGAAAAAUACUAGGAAGCAUAAACUAAGUCAUUCUUGGAAAAUAAUUAUAAAAAUCUUAAUAAAAAGAAAACAUAGCCUUAACUAACUAGGAAAGCAAUAGAUAUAGUCUGAUAAUAUAUGAAAAUAAGCCCCAAACUAAUCUUGGAUAGAAUCUUGAAAAUCUUGAAGUAAAUAUUUGCAAGCAACUUGGCACUAACUUGCACUCAACAUUUAGCUUGGUUAUUGCACCAUUAUUGGACACCAAGUAAGUCCUUUUUAUUCUAUAAAAAUGUGGCUUUAUGUAGGACUUCAUGGGUUGCAAGUUUGGACUCAUUUUAAGUGCUAAAUUGGUCCAACAGUGGCCUGAUUUUGACCUUCUUCAGAGGAUAUUUCUUGGGAUCUAAUCCACCUCUUAUUGGACAUGAAUUUGGGCCAUAAAAUAAGUAUAAUACCUAGAUAACUCAUAUCCUUUAUCCUUAAUUUCUUCCUCCCAACUAACAACUUCUUUGAUCGUUCCUGAAGUCCAAUCGCCUUGUUUUGCAACUUUUUAGCUUGAGAUCUUGUUAAAGGCCUCUUUGAAAUUUCAAAGGCUCAUCCUUGUCCUUGAAUAGAUUUGAGCUUCCUAGGAUACUAUCAUUCUCCUUGAUUGGUGCUUGGACCACAAGCUACCUCCUUUUGGACUUGGACUUGGAUCAUUGAAUGAGUGUAACACUUAGCUAAAUCCUCUCCAUAAUUCUUGAGCUCUUCUUCCACCAUUAGCGCCUUCUUAAUCUCCCAUUGAAGCCCAACACUCUUAUCUUGAUUCUCCUUAGCUUGAGACCUUGUGAAUAGCUUUCUUGGUGCUUCUAUUUAUCCUUGUCUGUGGAUCUAUCAUUCCCCUCCUUUUGAAAAGAAUUCGUCCUCAAAUUUGAACCUACAUCAAACAAGGAUAAGUCAGCAACAUUGAAAGUAGCACUUACUUAAAAUUCGCCUGGAAGGUCUAGUUUGUAAGCAUUAUCUCCAAUCCUUUCAAGUACUUUAAAUGGCCCAUCUCCUCUAGGGUGUAACUUUGUCUUCCUUUUUGAAUAAAUAUCUCCUUCCUCAUAUGAACCCAAACCAAAUCACCAUGCUCGAAGAUAACUAGUUUUCGACCUUUAUUUCUUCGUAAAGCUAUUUGUUCAUUCCCUACUUUCAAUGGCAAGUCUCGCAUGCUCAUGAAUAGCCUUUAUUAAAUCAGCUUUCUUUUUUCCAUUAAGACUAACCAUCUCAUUAGUAGGCAAAUGCAAUAAGCCACGGGGUGUAAGGGGGUUAAAGCCAUAAAAACUUCAAAAGGUGAAUAACUAGUAGAUGAAUGAACAAUUCGAUUGUUAUUCUACUAUAAGCAAGUGAUCCUCCCAAGAAUUUAAUUUUCCUUUUAGAAUAGCCCUUAACAUUUUUUUCUAAGAUUCUAUUUACUGCCUCAGGUUGCCCAUUAGUUUGUGGAUGACAUGAAGUAGAAAACACCAAUUUUGUUCCUAAUUUUUCCCAAAGCACACGCCAAAAGUGGCUUAGAAACUUAACAUCUCUAUCACUAACAAUAGUUUGAGUAUACCAUGCAAUUUAACAACUUCUCUGACAAAUAAAUCAGCAACAUAAGAAGCAUCAUUAGUCUUUAAACUAGGAAUAUAACGAGUCAUUUUGAGAACCUAUCUACCACAACAAAGAUGUUAUCUUUUCCAUACCUUUUUCUAGGUAGUCCUAACACAAAGUCUAUAGAAAUAUCAAUCCAAAGUGAAAUAUGCACAGGUAAUGGCGUGUAUAAACCAUGUGGCAAUUUAAACUACACUCAAUAAUUUUACACAUCUUUACUGCUUCCUUAUAGCCUAUAAUGUGUCUUACAUAUUUUUUUGCUUUCAGUCUUUAUUUAUGAUUAUUAGUGACUGAGUUGGAGUACUCGCUUUACUCCCUGCACCCUGAGUGCAGAUUCAGGCCCUGCUGAUCCUGUUCGCGAGGGUUGAGAGCUCCCGACAGAUUUUGGAUUCCACGAGGUAGCUGCUCGGUGUUCGCAGCCCCGUGCCUCUCCCCCUUUAUCUCAUCUCUAUCUCUAUUCAGUUAUUUUGUAAUAUUUUGGUAGACAUUUCAAACUUGUAGUGACACCCCGGUAUCGGGCCGUGUUGGGCUUGUUUCCCCAAACUGUGAUGUCACUGCUUAUAUUUCGGGGUUGUCACACCUCCUUUUUAUUACACCCCCAGAAGGGAGUAAAGGAGUUUUUCCAAUUUAAGUGACAAUCGAAACGGGAUUAUUUCAUUCAAAGGGUCGCCACUUAGGAUAAUUUAUGGUGUCCCAGUUUACCGGUUCAAAUCCCGAACCGAAAAAAGAUUGACUCUGUUUUACAGUCCGCGAACACAGAAAUCCGGGUAAGGAAUUAUGUUAACCCAGGAGAAGAUGUUAGGCAUAAUCAAGUUCUGUGAUUUUAACACGGUCGCUCAACUGUUAUUAUUGGCCUAUUUAUUUUAUUUUAAAACAUCUUUAAAACCUAUGUGCAUUUACUCUUUUUAAAUUUGUUUUAAUAUUCAAAUUAUUAUACAGCUAAUUAUUUUAAUUACACAUUGCGAAUCGUGUCACGAGAAUUGUACAAUCUACAAUGUGCUUAUUGUAUUAGCAAGAUUAAAUUAUGGCCGAAUCACAUAAAUAUACCCCCGAAUUUAUAAAUUAGGAAUCACAAUUACGUUACGGGAACCGUACCCAUAGCUAUGAUAAUUUUUUUGAUUAAAAACGCCUAAAGCAAACUACGAGAGUUCACGGCAUUUUCUACAUUAGUUAAGAUCUCGAUGUGAGUGUCAUACACUAGGUGAUUAAAUGACACGCCUCAAUUUUAUUUAAUAGAAUUCAUAUUCAACUAAAGCACGUUAUAGAUGUUCAUAUUUAAAACUAACUUUUUGAAAGAAAAAUAUCUUCGAUUCAUUGAACCGAAUGAAAUUACAGAACAGGAACUUCGGGAUGACCGAUGAAGACGGAUAGUGAUAUUAUUCAAGUCAUUCACCCAUUACACUUCAACAAAACUUGGGUAAUUAUUUGAAUUAAAGUACUAGCACAAAGUUCAUUAACUGAGAUUUUUCUCAACAUAAGAUAUGCAGACGCAAAGAAAUGCUAAAGAAAAGAAAGUUUGUUAAUGAGUUAUAAUUAGUCAAACUAAUUAAAAUUUGUUAAAACUCCUUUUCACUGAAAAUGAUUUAAAUAAGGAAAAUAAAAUUGUAAGAAGAAAUUGCAUUUUUUAUAAUUGAAAUAACUAAGAAAUUGCUUAAACACUUAAUUACAAAGUUACCAUAUCUCUGCUGCCAACCAAAAUCCAAUCCUAUUCCUGUUAUUCACACUUAUUUCAAUGGCUCAUUAACAUUUAAAAUCAGCUCCUAGUAAAAAGGAACUAAAUAGCUAGUUCUCAUGCUUUCCAUCAUAAGAACAAAACUGAAUAUCACACCAAAGGACUAUACUAGCAAGAUAAUAGCAUAGUAGAGAGAGAGAGAGAGUGGACCUUUAAACAGCUUGCUCGACAUUAAAUCUUUCCAAAACAACUUACAGUUAAUUGAGGGAUAAGAAAUCCAGCGAUGGGAACUCAACAACAAAUGUUAAAAAAGAAUUACGAACUGUACUCGAACGACGACUCGGGCUUCGAAAGCAGUAUCAUCCCAAAUCGAUGCCGGCAGACUCGAAAACAGACAUAACUUUGGGGGCGAUUUUUGAAUGUUUCCAGUUGAGUUACAGUUUCGAUUUUUGUGCUGGAUUGGAUUGGUUUUAGAUGGAGAAAAGGGGUUGCUUUGGUGGUGGUUGGCGUUGGAGAGAUUCAGGGGUCCUCAUGUAGAAGAUGAAGCAACAACUCGAUUUUGUUUUCUCGGGUUCGGCUGCUUAGGGACGCUAGGGCUAGGAAGAAGUGUUUAAGGUUGCUCGUUCUUCUGAAGGGGUCGUUGGCUGCUAUGAGGUGGUUGUUUCUCUCCUCACAUGGCUGCUUCGGGCGCUUGAAAAGAAAGGCGUUCCAGGGUGUUUGAAGUGUAUUGAGGAGGAAGAAGCUCGAGGGUCUUAUGUCUUUUUUCCUUCGGAAACGAUGGAUCCUCUCUAUAUGCAAAUGGUUCCCUUUUUUUAAUUUAUCCCACACUCCCUCUCUCUAUUCCUAAAAUCCUCUCCUCCUCUCAAACAUUUCUCCUCAAAAUCCUCAAUGAUGUCCCCCAUUUUCUCUCUCUUGGUCUUUAUGUAUGUGAGGCUAGACUAAUUGUGUGUGGGCAGAUUAUGAGUGUCUGCAUUGUGAGGAAUCUUUUUUUUCUGAGUAUUUAAACUUACUUGAUAAAAAAGAAAAGGAAUCUUAAGAAUAAAAUAAGGGAAGGUCACACGUCAAUAUGGGUGAGAAUGGAAAAAUGGGACCACUACCAACUUCAUUUGUUUCCUUUCACUUUGUCUUUCAC
rnacentral:lncRNA from 1 species